rnacentral:rRNA from 1 species
GAUGAACGCUCGCUACAGGCUUAACACAUGCAAGUCGAGGGGCAGCAUGGUCUUAGCUUGCUAAGGCCGAUGGCGACCGGCGCACGGGUGAGUAACACGUAUCCAACCUGCCGUCUACUCUUGGACAGCCUUCUGAAAGGAAGAUUAAUACAAGAUGGCAUCAUGAGUCCGCAUGUUCACAUGAUUAAAGGUAUUCCGGUAGACGAUGGGGAUGCGUUCCAUUAGAUAGUAGGCGGGGUAACGGCCCACCUAGUCUUCGAUGGAUAGGGGUUCUGAGAGGAAGGUCCCCCACAUUGGAACUGAGACACGGUCCAAACUCCUACGGGAGGCAGCAGUGAGGAAUAUUGGUCAAUGGGCGCAGGCCUGAACCAGCCAAGUAGCGUGAAGGAUGACUGCCCUAUGGGUGGUAAACUUCUUUUAGAAAGGAAUAAAGUCGGGUAUGUAUACCCGUUUGCAUGUACUUUAUGAAUAAGGAUCGGCUAACUCCGUG